GACGAACGCUGGCGGCGUGCUUAACACAUGCCAGUCGAACGGUGAAGCACCUUCCUUUUGGUGGGUGUGGAUGAGUGGCGAACGGGUGAGUAACACGUGAGUAACCUGCCCCCUUCUUCUGGAUAACCGCAUGAAAGUGUGGCUAAUACGGGAUAUUCUGUGCCUGCUGCAUGGUGGGUGUGGGAAAGAUGCGCUUUUGGGUGUUUUUGGUGGGGGAUGGGCUCGCGGCCUAUCAGCUUGUUGGUGGGGUGAUGGCCUACCAAGGCGGUGACGGGUAGCCGGCCUGGGAGGGUGGACGGUCACACUGGGACUGAGACACGGCCCAGACUCCUACGGGAGGCAGCAGUGGGGAAUAUUGCACAAUGGGCGCAAGCCUGAUGCAGCGACGCCGCGUGAGGGAUGGAGGCCUUCGGGUUGUAAACCUCUUUCGCCAGUGAAGCAGGCCUGUCCCUUGUGGGUGGGUUGACGGUAGCUGGAUAAGAAGCGCCGGCUAACUACGUG
rnacentral:rRNA from 1 species